GGGAGGCUAGCGGAGUUGUUUCUAGGGUCUGUGACCUCCGUCCUCGCGAGAGGCUCGGAAGUGCCGAGCUGUCUCUAGGAUCUGUGGCUGGCGGGACUGAUCUCGUCCUCGCGGGAGGCCCGGAAGUGCUUUUGAGGGUCUUCAGGUUCAGAGCCCACUUACUAGACCCACAGAGCCUGGUAUACUCGGCUCUCCUUUGGAGUUUCCAGGUAAAGUCUCAGCAUCCCUUUACCUCCCUGUGGCCUCUGAGAGUGGUCAUGUUUAUGGAAUGGUAGAAAGGAUCCGUUCAGAUUAUCCAUGUUUAUCUCCUUUUUUGUUCCAGUUAGAUAUAAAGUCUAUUAUUUUCGCAUAUUAGUAUUCAUAAUUUAUGCAGAUAUCUUAUUCUGAGUUUUUCCUUGAAACGUUUUACUUAAGUAUAUAUAGAAUACUAUCUUCACUGAAUAAGUAAUUUAUUCUCUUCCUUUUUCAUAUAAAUUGUAUAUAAUCCCAGUUUCUGCGACAGGCUCUUUUGUGGCAGUACCAUGUUAAAUAGUCAUGUUUACUGACAGACAUUCUUGUUUUAUUUUGUAUUUGAGUAGAGACUUUACUACAUCAACUCAAGCUUGAAGAGCUUUCACAUCUCAAGCAAGCCAUCCUGGAACCAA